GGAAGUCAAUGGUGAAGCAAGGGCUGGAGGUGAAGGAGUGAGAGUAAGAAGAGGAGAAUGAGGAAGGACAGUUGUCUCAGAUGAGAUCUGGGCCACAUUGGUUGACCAUGUGCUCAACCAUUGAUUGAGUAUAGGGGAGGCUGGGCAGAGAGUUUAGCCCAACCUGAGCUGCUACACGGUUGCAUCUAUCAUCCGUACAUUCAGAAAUGAGAACCGAACCGAAAGACGACCACCACGGGUGGUAGAAUGCAUCUACAGACCAACAGGAGGCUGCCAUUGUACAAACGGUAGUUGAAAAUCCAACAGCAGAUUAUUUAAAACCCUGCCAUCUUCCAUAACGUCAGAGUGAGCUUAUUAUCAACCACAGCCCCCAUCCUUCAGAAACACCAUCUCCGGAUGAAGCACAUCUACAGAGCCCCAUUUGAAAGGAAUUCCCAAAGAGUGAAGGAUAAACGAGAAUCGUGGAGUUGGAUGCAAGUCCCAUCCCCCAGGAACUCAUACUCAUCGAUGAGGCUGGAUUCAGCGACGACGAGGAGGAGAGGAAGGAACAUCAUUGGUCAACGUGCCACAUUGAGGUACCUGGCCAGCGCGGGGGAAAUGUCAUCGUAUACACAGCUAUGAGCCACAAUGGGGUCCUCCACCGCCAUGCCACCCUUGGACCAUACAACACUGCCCAUCUCCAUCUCUCCAUCUGGCCCUUCUCCAGGCAAUGGAGGAUGCCUGUGGUGACGUUCCAGCAGAGUCCUGUCAGGGAUGGAUGAGUCAAGCCAAAAUACAUUUCCCCCACUGUCUGACCAAGGAGAAUAUCGCCUGUGAUGUUGAUAACAUUCUGUGGCCGGACCAAAACAACAGGCAUGACUGAUUUUGUUUUCGCAAUGCAGUAUUUGUUUCUUGACUGAUGAUUUAGAUUUCUUCAUCUACAUAUAAUACAGUAGUAUUUGUCUUCCUUUGCAUAUGCAAAAUAUAUUUACUGUAUGUUUGCAUU